rnacentral:sRNA from 1 species
AUGUGCCCCUUUACAGUGCGGUUCCUGCGCGCUGUCCACACACACCUGACAGCGACUCGUGACGUUUUGUUAGCC